rnacentral:ncRNA from 2 species
GUGUGAGUUAAGGGGUGCCCGAUAUUUCGGGCUGAGAUGAGACCCUCUGACCUGAUCCAGACAAUGCUGGCGUAGGAAAAAAAGAAGGAUAAACA